rfam:Rhizopus oryzae RA 99-880 supercont3.82 mitochondrial scaffold, whole genome shotgun sequence.
GGGGUUGUAACUUAAUCGGUAAAGUUCCCGACUUUUAAUCGGUAUUAUUAGGGUUCGAGUCCCUACGACCUCA